rnacentral:misc_RNA from 1 species
GAUGAAGAACGUAGCGAAAUGCGAUAAGUAAUGCGAAUUGCAGAAUUCAGUGAGUCAUCGAAUCUUUGAACGCACAUUGCGCCCUGUGGUAUUCCGCAGGGCAUGCCUGUUCGAGCGUCAUUUCAACCCUCAAGCUCUGCUUGGUGUUGGGCCCUGCCCGCUGCGGCCGGCCCUAAAGACAGUGGCGGUGCCGCCUGGCCCUGAGCGUAGUACAUCUCUCGCUCCAGUGCCCGGUGGUAGCCUGGCAGAACCCCAACUCUCGUGGUUGACCUCGGAUCAGGUAGGGAUACCCGCUGAACUUAAGCAUAUCAAUAAGCGGAGGA